CAAAGGAGAAAUGAGGCAGCGUUUAUUCUUCGCAGUUUUGGCUUGGCUCCCAGUGGCUUCCAGUUUCUGUGAGCGUAAUGGCCUCUCUCUCUGGGGAGGCACAGGCUAUGGCUUCAAUUGCUCCUCCUUGUCAGCUCCAGACGCCUCUGAUUUCUCAUAUUGUGGCUGGCCUUCGUGCACAUUACAUCCAG